GGCUCGGUAGCUCAGUUGGUAGAGCAAAGGACUGAAAAUCCUUGUGUCGUCGGUUCGAUUCCGUCCCGAGCCACCA
rnacentral:tRNA from 1 species